UUAAGCGACUAAGCGUACACGGUGGAUGCCCUGGCAGUCAGAGGCGAUGAAGGACGUGCUAAUCUGCGAUAAGCGUCGGUAAGGUGAUAUGAACCGUUAUAACCGGCGAUUUCCGAAUGGGGAAACCCAGUGUGUUUCGACACACUAUCAUUAACUGAAUCCAUAGGUUAAUGAGGCGAACCGGGGGAACUGAAACAUCUAAGUACCCCGAGGAAAAGAAAUCAACCGAGAUUCCCCCAGUAGCGGCGAGCGAACGGGGAGCAGCCCAGAGCCUGAAUCAGUAUGUGUGUUAGUGGAAGCGUCUGGAAAGGCGCGCGAUACAGGGUGACAGCCCCGUACACAAAAAUGCACAUGCUGUGAGCUCGAUGAGUAGGGCGGGACACGUGGUAUCCUGUCUGAAUAUGGGGGGACCAUCCUCCAAGGCUAAAUACUCCUGACUGACCGAUAGUGAACCAGUACCGUGAGGGAAAGGCGAAAAGAACCCCGGCGAGGGGAGUGAAAAAGAACCUGAAACCGUGUACGUACAAGCAGUGGGAGCACGCUUAGGCGUGUGACUGCGUACCUUUUGUAUAAUGGGUCAGCGACUUAUAUUCUGUAGCAAGGUUAACCGAAUAGGGGAGCCGAAGGGAAACCGAGUCUUAACUGGGCGUUAAGUUGCAGGGUAUAGACCCGAAACCCGGUGAUCUAGCCAUGGGCAGGUUGAAGGUUGGGUAACACUAACUGGAGGACCGAACCGACUAAUGUUGAAAAAUUAGCGGAUGACUUGUGGCUGGGGGUGAAAGGCCAAUCAAACCGGGAGAUAGCUGGUUCUCCCCGAAAGCUAUUUAGGUAGCGCCUCGUGAAUUCAUCUCCGGGGGUAGAGCACUGUUUCGGCAAGGGGGUCAUCCCGACUUACCAACCCGAUGCAAACUGCGAAUACCGGAGAAUGUUAUCACGGGAGACACACGGCGGGUGCUAACGUCCGUCGUGAAGAGGGAAACAACCCAGACCGCCAGCUAAGGUCCCAAAGUCAUGGUUAAGUGGGAAACGAUGUGGGAAGGCCCAGACAGCCAGGAUGUUGGCUUAGAAGCAGCCAUCAUUUAAAGAAAGCGUAAUAGCUCACUGGUCGAGUCGGCCUGCGCGGAAGAUGUAACGGGGCUAAACCAUGCACCGAAGCUGCGGCAGCGACACUAUGUGUUGUUGGGUAGGGGAGCGUUCUGUAAGCCUGUGAAGGUGUGCUGUGAGGCAUGCUGGAGGUAUCAGAAGUGCGAAUGCUGACAUAAGUAACGAUAAAGCGGGUGAAAAGCCCGCUCGCCGGAAGACCAAGGGUUCCUGUCCAACGUUAAUCGGGGCAGGGUGAGUCGACCCCUAAGGCGAGGCCGAAAGGCGUAGUCGAUGGGAAACAGGUUAAUAUUCCUGUACUUGGUGUUACUGCGAAGGGGGGACGGAGAAGGCUAUGUUGGCCGGGCGACGGUUGUCCCGGUUUAAGCGUGUAGGCUGGUUUUCCAGGCAAAUCCGGAAAAUCAAGGCUGAGGCGUGAUGACGAGGCACUACGGUGCUGAAGCAACAAAUGCCCUGCUUCCAGGAAAAGCCUCUAAGCAUCAGGUAACAUCAAAUCGUACCCCAAACCGACACAGGUGGUCAGGUAGAGAAUACCAAGGCGCUUGAGAGAACUCGGGUGAAGGAACUAGGCAAAAUGGUGCCGUAACUUCGGGAGAAGGCACGCUGAUAUGUAGGUGAAGUCCCUCGCGGAUGGAGCUGAAAUCAGUCGAAGAUACCAGCUGGCUGCAACUGUUUAUUAAAAACACAGCACUGUGCAAACACGAAAGUGGACGUAUACGGUGUGACGCCUGCCCGGUGCCGGAAGGUUAAUUGAUGGGGUUAGCCGCAAGGCGAAGCUCUUGAUCGAAGCCCCGGUAAACGGCGGCCGUAACUAUAACGGUCCUAAGGUAGCGAAAUUCCUUGUCGGGU
rnacentral:rRNA from 1 species